AAAGGCAAUUGGUUUGUCGCCCUGGUGUUAUAAUCAGGGAGGAAAGUCCGGGCAACACAGAGCACCAUACCAUUUGAAAGGAUGGGAAAUAACUUGCAAAGGUUGUUGACAGAUAGGGUCACAGAGAAUAACUACCUUGACUUAGGUUAGGGAAAAGGUGAAAAUGUGAGGUAAGAGCUCACAACUUACAUUAGUAAUAGUGUAGGUGGAUAAACCUUAUGGGUUGUAAAACCAAAUAUACCGGGGCUUGAGGGCUGCUCGCUCAAGUUAGCUUAGCAAUAAGUGUAUGCCUCGGAGGGUAGGUUGCAUUAGAUAAAUGACAGACAUUUUGCACUUGUGCAGAAUACAGAACCCGGCUUAUAGAUUGCCUUUUUUU
rnacentral:RNase_P_RNA from 1 species